rnacentral:rRNA from 1 species
UUGGGACUUCCGCUCUAUACCCUUUGUGACAUACCUACAACUGUUGCUUCGGCGGGUAGGCCGUCCCCUGAAAAGGACGCCUCCCGGCCCGGACCGGACCCCCCGUGGGGCCGGACUCGGCGCCCGCCGGAGGAUAACCAAACGCUAUUUUAACGACGUUUCUUCUGAGUGGCAUAAGCAAAAUAAUCAAAACUUUUAACAACGGAUCUCUUGGUUCUGGCAUCGAUGAAGAACGCAGCGAAAUGCGAUAAGUAAUGUGAAUUGCAGAAUUCAGUGAAUCAUCGAAUCUUUGAACGCACAUUGCGCCCGCCAGCAUUCUGGCGGGCAUGCCUGUUCGAGCGUCAUUUCAACCCUCAAGCUCUGCUUGGUGUUGGGGCUCUACGGUCGACGUAGGCCCUCAAAGGUAGUGGCGGACCCUCCCGGAGCCUCCUUUGCGUAGUAACAUUUCGUCUCGCACUGGGAUCCGGAGGGACUCUUGCCGUAAAACCCCCCAAUUUUUCAAGGUUGACCUCGGAUCAGGUAGGAAUACCCGCUGAACUUAAGCAUAUCAAUAAGCGGAGGAAUUAUUACGGAAUUUCGCUCUUUGCCCUUUGUGAACAUGUUCCGCUGGUUGCUUCGGCGGUAAGGAUCUGAAAAAGAAGACUCGGCCCGGACGAAUCCCGUGGUGCGUUCUCUCUC